rnacentral:rRNA from 1 species
GAUGAACGCUGGCGGCGUGCUUAACACAUGCAAGUCGAACGAAGCACUUAAUGAGAUUUCUUCGGAUUGAUUAUUUUGUGACUGAGUGGCGGACGGGUGAGUAACGCGUGGGUAACCUGCCCCAGACCGGGGGAUAACAGUCGGAAACGACUGCUAAUACCGCAUAAGCGCACAGUGCCGCAUGGCACAGUGUGAAAAACUCCGGUGGUCUGGGAUGGACCCGCGUCCGAUUAGCCAGUUGGCAGGGUAACGGCCUACCAAAGCGACGAUCAGUAGCCGGCCUGAGAGGGUGAACGGCCACAUUGGGACUGAGACACGGCCCAAACUCCUACGGGAGGCAGCAGUGGGGAAUAUUGCACAAUGGGGGAAACCCUGAUGCAGCGACGCCGCGUGAGUGAUGAAGUAUUUCGGUAUGUAAAACUCUAUCAGCAGGGAAGAUAAUGACGGUACCUGACUAAGAAGCACCGGCUAAAUACGUGCCAGCAGCCG